GUUUCCCGGCCGCCAUGCAUGCUGUUACGCCAUGAUACUGUUUCGUAAUGGCUAAGAGCUAGCAGUGGACGGCAACCUCUCAUAGCAAAUUACUCUUGGGGAAUGUAUGCUGUUGAAAAUGAUCACAAUUACUUAAGAAGUACAGAGGAGACACACCUUUCAUCCGGGCCACACUUCCUACUGGCAGCCUAUGUAAAGGACACGGGAGAAGAGAACUUGACCCAUUUGCCUGCUUGCUCUCACGCUCACUGGUUAACUCCAUUCCUCCACUGGUAUUCAAGCAUACUUCACUGGGAUUCUGGCGCAUACUGGAGACCAGCUGAGACAUCCGGCCUCGUGAACUGAAGAACUACUGGGUUCCUGGACAUUCUAUUCACAGACAGACAUGGUUGGACCAACUGGACCACAGCCUUUUUCAAAAGUGUGUGGAUUUCUGCCCGUUUGCCUAUCUGUACACCGUGUGUAUGCCUGGUGCCUGGGAAGGCCAGAAGAGGCUGCAGGAUCCCUGAUAGCUGUGAGCAGCCAUGUGAGUGUUGGGAUCAAGCCCAGGCCCUCUGGAAGAGCAGCCAGCGCUCUUAGCUUCCGAGCCGUCUCUCCAAGCCUGUGUUCUUUUAAAUGACAGUGUGCUAAAUAAA